UUUCAAUCUAAAUAUUGGGUUUCAAAUUUUGGUGAUGGCUUCAUCUACGAGGAACACAAGUGCACUGAAGGUUGCUGUAAUUCUAAUCUUUUGUCUGUUACUACAACCUUCUUAACCGGCAGUUGGGUUGAAGUUUUCAAGAUACAAGUAUGAGAAUAUGAAAGAAAGGGAAAAGUUGACAGGUUCGACUCCUCCUGAUUGCAAGAAUAAGUGCUGGGGCUGCUCUCCAUGCGCACCAGUUGUAGUCUCUGAUCAGCCUCUAGGGCCCUCCACAAUCUUGUCAUAAUCAAAAUGACAACUAUCCUACUGUAUGGAAAUGUAAAUCUGGAAAUAAUCUGUAAGAUCCUUGAAAUUGAUAUAUUAUGGAUUAGGAAAGCAACUUCUAUGGGACAAAGUCCUGAAUCCAUGAAAUUAAACAUUUUAUUAAAUAAAAUCAUUAUGAUGAUGAUGCAACCAAA